rnacentral:rRNA from 1 species
CAAGUCGAACGAACUCUUCGGAGUUAGUGGCGGACGGGUGAGUAACACGUGGGAACGUGCCUUUAGGUUCGGAAUAACUCAGGGAAACUUGUGCUAAUACCGAAUGUGCCCUUCGGGGGAAAGAUUUAUCGCCUUUAGAGCGGCCCGCGUCUGAUUAGCUAGUUGGUGAGGUAAAGGCUCACCAAGGCGACGAUCAGUAGCUGGUCUGAGAGGAUGAUCAGCCACAUUGGGACUGAGACACGGCCCAAACUCCUACGGGAGGCAGCAGUGGGGAAUCUUGCGCAAUGGGCGAAAGCCUGACGCAGCCAUGCCGCGUGAAUGAUGAAGGUCUUAGGAUUGUAAAAUUCUUUCACCGGGGACGAUAAUGACGGUACCCGGAGAAGAAGCCCCGGCUAACUUCGUGCCAGCAGCCGCGGUAAUACGAAGGGGGCUAGCGUUGCUCGGAAUUACUGGGCGUAAAGGGAGCGUAGGCGGACAUUUAAGUCAGGGGUGAAAUCCCGGGGCUCAACCUCGGAAUUGCCUUUGAUACUGGGUGUCUUGAGUAUGAGAGAGGUGUGUGGAACUCCGAGUGUAGAGGUGAAAUUCGUAGAUAUUCGGAAGAACACCAGUGGCGAAGGCGACACACUGGCUCAUUACUGACGCUGAGGCUCGAAAGCGUGGGGAGCAAACAGGAUUAGAUACCCUGGUAGUCCACGCCGUAAACGAUGAUUGCUAGUUGUCGGGAUGCAUGCAUUUCGGUGACGCAGCUAACGCAUUAAGCAAUCC